CAGCCGCCGCGGUAACACCUGCAGCCCAAGUGGUGGUCGAUUUUAUUGAGUCUAAAACGUUCGUAGCCGGUUUGGUAAAUCUUUGGGUAAAUCGGGAGGCUCAACUUUCCGACUUCCGAAGAGACUGUCAAACUUGGGACCGGGAGAGGCUAGAGGUACUUCUGGGGUAGGGGUAAAAUCCUGUAAUCCUAGAAGGACCACCGGUGGCGAAGGCGUCUAGCUAGAACGGAUCCGACGGUGAGGGACGAAGCCCUGGGUCGCAAACGGGAUUAGAUACCCCGGUAGUCCAGGGUGUAAACGCUGCCGACUUGGUGUUGGAGGCCCUUCGGGGGCAUUCAGUGCCGGAGAGAAGUUGUUAAGUCGUGCUACUUGGGGGGUACGACCGCAAGGAUGAAACUUAAAGGAAUUGGCGG
rnacentral:rRNA from 1 species